GGGAUAACAGGUGUGAGCCACUGCACCCGGCUCUUUCUGGUUUUGGUUUUUUAUUGUUUUUUUGAGACAGGGUUUCACCCCCUCCGUCACCGAGGUUGAAAUGCAGUGGCACAAUCUCAGUUCACUGCAACCGACACCUCCCAUGCUCAAGCGAUCCUCCCACUUCGGCCUCCCAAGUACUGGGACCACAGAUGUGCGCCACUAUGCCCAGCUAAUUUUUUUGUAUUUUUGGUAGAGACGGAGUUUCGCCAUGUUGCCCAGACUGGUCUCAGACUCCUGAGCUGAGGCGAUCCACCCACCUUAGCCUCCCAAAGAACUGGGAUUAGAGAUGUGAGCCACCGCACUUGGCCUAAUAUUCUUUUUUUUUUUUUUUUUUUUUGACACAGUCUCACUCUGUCUCCCAGGCUGGAGUGCAGUGGUGCCAUCCGCCAUCUCGGCUCACUGAAACCUCCGCCUCCUAGGUUCAAGUGAUUCUCCUGCCUCAGCCUCCUGAGUAGAGGGAUUACAGGCGUGCACCACCACACCUGGCUAAUUUUUGUAUUUUUAUUUAUUUAUUUAUUUUUGAGUCUGAGUUUUGUUCUUGUUGCCCAGGCUGGAGUACAA
rnacentral:lncRNA from 1 species